rnacentral:lncRNA from 1 species
AGGGAGGUGUUAAGACGUUGAAAUUUAUGGAUUAAAAACAUUAUAGUGGAGUUUCGGAAUUUGAAAGGCAUUUUCUAGGUUGUAUCUAACUUGUUUUGGAACUUAUGAACAUUUUGUAUCAUCGAAGAUCAUGUAUAGUGUUACAAGUUGUCAUUUCUUGAGCUUUUUAUUUUGGAGCUUUAAGAUCUCUUUUUUUCAACAAAAUUU